GGGGAGUGCUGCUCAGCGUGAGGUAAUACAGUAGGGGGAGUGCUGCUCAGCGUGAGGUAAUACAGUAGGGGGAGUGCUGCUCAGCGUGAGGUAAUACAGUAGGGGGAGUGCUGCUCAGCGUGAGGUAAUACAGUAGGGGGAGUGCUGCUCAGUGUGAGGUAAUACAGUAGGGGGAGUGCUGCUCAGCGUGAGGUAAUACAGUAGGGGGAGUGCUGGUCAGCGUGAGGUAAUACAGUAGGGGGAGUGCUGCUCAGCGUGAGGUAAUACAGUAGGGGGAGUGCUGCUCAGCGUGAGGUAAUACAGUAGGGG